GAUGAACGCUAGCGGCAGGCUUAACACAUGCAAGUCGAGGGGUAGAAGUUGCUUGCAACUUUGAGACCGGCGCACGGGUGCGUAACGCGUAUGCAAUCUACCUUAUACAGAGGGAUAGCCCAGAGAAAUUCGGAUUAAUACCUCAUAGUAUAAUUGAAUGGCAUCAUUUAAUUAUUAAAGUUCCAACGGUAUAAGAUGAGCAUGCGUCCUAUUAGCUAGAUGGUAAGGUAACGGCUUACCAUGGCAACGAUAGGUAGGGGUCCUGAGAGGGAGAUCCCCCACACUGGUACUGAGACACGGACCAGACUCCUACGGGAGGCAGCAGUGAGGAAUAUUGGACAAUGGGCGCAAGCUUGAUCCAGCCACGCCGCGUGCAGGAAGAAGCAUCUAUGGUGUGUAAACUGCUUUUGUACGGGAAGAAACACCCCUUCGUGAAGGGACUUGACGGUACCGUAAGAAUAAGGAUCGGCUAACUCCGUGCCAGCAGCCGCAGUAAAAC
rnacentral:rRNA from 1 species